rnacentral:rRNA from 1 species
AAGUCGUAACAAGGUCUCCGUAGGUGAACCUGCGGAGGGAUCAUUACCGAGAGAGGCGCCUCGCGCGCCGCCUCCAACCCUUUGCGAACCGUACCGCGUUGCUCGGGUGGCCCCUAGCCGGCGCCCCGAGGACGUCUCACCAAACCCUGCGUCCCUGCGUCGGAGUAUGAUAUUGAAUCAAUCAAAACUUUCAACAACGGAUCUCUUGGUUCUGGCAUCGAUGAAGAACGCGGCGGAAUGCGAUAAGUAAUGUGAAUUGCAGAAUUCAGUGAAUCAUCGAAUCUUGAACGCACAUUGCGCCUUUGCAUUCCGAAGGGCAUGCCGUUCGAGCGUCAUUACACCACUCGAGCCUGGCUUGGUAUUGGCGGCGGGACCCCCCGCGCCUCUAAUUGUCCGGCUGGACGGUUCGAAUCUCAGACGUUGUGGUUCAUCAGGAUCGCUGGCGAGGACGACCGGACGCGCGUUAAACGUUCAUCACAGGUUGACCUCGGAUCGGGUAGGAUACCCGCUGAACUUAA